AAGAAGAGCAAAUUAAAAGGGCCAUACGGCCAAGCUCUUGAAAAAUUGACCCUUUGAAAUCUUUCUCCAAAAAUUAUUUUCUUGUGGUAUUUCUACUAAUUCAAGGGUCCUUUACAACUUGGUGUAAUUAUUUUGGAAGAAAGAACACUUGUUUCUUCAAGUUGACAAUUUGGUCAAGUGAAGAAGAUUGUAGAAAAAGAUUUUGGCGAACUUGAAACUUGAUUUUGGAGACGUGUAUGAAGCGGAAAAGGUCAGCAGGUAGACGGACCUGAUUUCUAGAAGUUCUACCAGCAGUGUUGGCAGUGCUCCAGUCGUCCCGGAGCCCCAGAUUCUCGGUACUAUUUUGUGUAUAUAUAUAUUCGGGCACGGCAGUACCCGGCCCUUUCUAUGUAUAAGUGUACUAUGUCUAGAGGCUCGUAGACAGAUGUGUAUAGUCAGUCGAGUACAAUUAGAUAUACGAUGUUUUGGCAUGUUGAUAUUGUUGUAUAAAGUGUUAACGAGAUUUACUAGUCUAUGUUCAGAACGACGCUGCUAAUGUUAAUGUUCAGAAAGAAGAAAAAAAAUGGCUCUGGUUACACGACUUGCUAAGAGGUAAAAGUAAUAUGACAGAUAAGGAGUGCUCGGUACAAGUAUCGGGUACUCGUCACGGCCCCUAGUCGGGUCGUGACAGUUUCAUGCCCGCAGGUACGGACGUUCGGUUGGGUGACCCUCCAGUAUAGGAUAUCUAUAUUUUGCCAUUCGGACUACUCCUUUUGAUCCGGAGCUCAUAUUUUGGAACAUAUCUUCUGUUAUCCACAUUCUGUAUAUAUGACUAUUUGGGUACGGCGGGGCCCUGUCCCGUCAUAUGUUCUGUUAUUUUCUGUAGAGGCCUGUAGUCAUAUAUGUGGGUCAUGGGUCAUGUCUUUUCGUUUGUGAUUAUGAUCUGCGUCUUAAUGCGGCCCUGUUUGUUAUUAUGGCCAAAACGACCCAUUUGUCUGUAUAUGUGAAUAUAUCUGGCGAUGUGUAUUCCGCCAAUCUAUUGGAUUUGGAUAUGAUGUUUCUGUACGGGCGACCGCUUAAGAUGAUAUUUGUUUUCAG